rnacentral:rRNA from 1 species
AGUGAACGCUGGCGGUAGGCCUAACACAUGCAAGUCGAACGGCAGCACAGUAAGAGCUUGCUCUUACGGGUGGCGAGUGGCGGACGGGUGAGGAAUACAUCGUAAUCUACUUUUUCGUGGGGGAUAACGUAGGGAAACUUACGCUAAUACCGCAUACGACCUACGGGUGAAAGCAGGGGAUCUUCGGACCUUGCGCGAUUGAAUGAGCCGAUGUCGGAUUAGCUAGUUGGCGGGGUAAAGGCCCACCAAGGCGACGAUCCGUAGCUGGUCUGAGAGGAUGAUCAGCCACACUGGAACUGAGACACGGUCCAGACUCCUACGGGAGGCAGCAGUGGGGAAUAUUGGGCAAUGGGCGCAAGCCUGAUCCAGCCAUACCGCGUGGGUGAAGAAGGCCUUCGGGUUGUAAAGCCCUUUUGUUGGGAAAGAAAAGCAGCAGGUUAAUACCCCGCUGUUCUGACGGUACCCAAAGAAUAAGCACCGGCUAACUUCGUG